rnacentral:rRNA from 1 species
GACGAACCGUGCGAACGUUGUUCGGAAUCACUGGGCAUAAAGGGCGCGUAGGCGGCUUGUCAAGUCAGGGGUGAAAUCCGGCAGCUUAACUGUCGAAGUGCCUUUGAUACUGAUGAGCUCGAGGGAGGUAGGGGUAUGCGGAACUUCCGGUGGAGCGGUGAAAUGCGUUGAUAUCGGAAGGAACGCCGGUGGCGAAAGCGGCGUACUGGACCUCUUCUGACGCUGAGGCGCGAAAGCUAGGGGAGCAAACAGGG